GAUGAACGCUAGCGGCAGGCUUAAUACAUGCAAGUCGAACGGGAAUUGGGUAGCAAUACCUGAUGAUAGUGGCGCACGGGUGCGUAACGCGUAUGCAACCUACCUUUAACAGGGGGAUAGCCCGGAGAAAUUCGGAUUAAUACCCCAUAGUAUUAUGGAGAGGCAUCUUUUCAUGAUUAAAGUUCCGGCGGUUAAAGAUGGGCAUGCGUGCCAUUAGCUAGUUGGUGAGGUAACGGCUCACCAAGGCGACGAUGGUUAGGGGUCCUGAGAGGGUUAUCCCCCACACUGGUACUGAGACACGGACCAGACUCCUACGGGAGGCAGCAGUAAGGAAUAUUGGUCAAUGGGCGGAAGCCUGAACCAGCCAUGCCGCGUGCAGGAAGACGGCCUUAUGGGUUGUAAACUGCUUUUGUCAGGGAAUAAACCCUCGUUUGCGAACGAGGCUGAAGGUACCUGAAGAAUAAGCAUCGGCUAACUCCGUGCCAAGCAGCCGCGGUAAAACGUAGCGUG
rnacentral:rRNA from 1 species